CAUUUGAGUGAGUGGCGAACUGGUGAGUAACACGUGGGAAACCUGCCCAGAAGCGGGGGAUAACACCUGGAAACAGAUGCUAAUACCGCAUAACAACUUGGACCGCAUGGUCCGAGUUUGAAAGAUGGCUUCGGCUAUCACUUUUGGAUGGUCCCGCGGCGUAUUAGCUAGAUGGUGGGGUAACGGCUCACCAUGGCAAUGAUACGUAGCCGACCUGAGAGGGUAAUCGGCCACAUUGGGACUGAGACACGGCCCAAACUCCUACGGGAGGCAGCAGUAGGGAAUCUUCCACAAUGGACGAAAGUCUGAUGGAGCAACGCCGCGUGAGUGAAGAAGGGUUUCGGCUCGUAAAACUCUGUUGUUAAAGAAGAACAUAUCUGAGAGUAACUGUUCAGGUAUUGACGGUAUUUAACCAGAAAGCCACGGCUAACUACGUGCCAGCAGCCGCGGUAAUACGUAGGUGGCAAGCGUUGUCCGGAUUUAUUGGGCGUAAAGCGAGCG
rnacentral:rRNA from 1 species